UAUUAUUGACAAGUGAACAUCGGAACUUUUUAACAGGGAAACUGGAAAAAGAAAGUGUCUUCCACAGAUAAACAGCCAACUUCUCCUCAGCCUCACCCAAGCUCCUGCAUCUACUGUCACCGUCCCUCUCCUUUCCUCUCCCCCGAAUUUCUUUUCCAAAUUCACUAAUCAGUCAUUUAAGUAUCAAAAGAUUCAUUGUGAGUGAGAGAGAGGAAUAAUCAUGAGCAUAACGCGGGGCACGCAAACGCCCUCACUCGCCUUUCGGGUGAUGAGGUUAUGCAGGCCUUCAUUUCACGUGGACGCUCCGGUCCGUUUAGACCCCUCCGAUCUUAUCAUCGGUGAGGACAUCUUCAACGAUCCAAUUGCCGCUUCACGGCUUCCUCCUCUCAUCUACGCCCAUGCCACCAAGCUCACCGAUUCAUCCGCUCUACCACAUUCCUCCUCCAACACCCUUCCGAUUCAUUUGGCCUCACUGGUCUCCUCGUCCUACCUCAAGUCCUUGGAUAUUGCAUCAUAUCAUGUUCUCUCCCUUAUUAUUAUUAUUUUUUUUGUUUAAUUUGAAUGAUUUUUCUUUUUCAGGGCUAUAUAUUUGGGGGGGACCUUUUGCAGCCAGCAAUAUAAGCAUCAAUAACAGUUCUAAUUUUUGAAGUUAGGGAUGUUAUGUUUAAGAAAUUCAAACAGAAAGGCAGAGGAUCCUUCCAUUGGACACAUCAAAAACCCCUGUUGAGUCUAUACGAGCUGGAGAGCGUUAUCAUUUCAUUGUGGAACAUGAUGUGGAGGAACUUGGAGCCCAUACAACUUGAUUGCUACGAUACAUGGAGGACAGAAAAUAACAGGUUUUACAGUGUUUGACAAAUCAGGGAAGAAAACCCAUGAUCUCAUUGCCUGAUUUAGAGGUUAGUUCUCUACAAUAGUCUGCAGUGGUUUGGAAAUCACUAGCAUUUUUUAUUGCCAUAUGGUGAUGCUCUUUAAUUUUGUUUUUUCUGGCUUUCCACAUUUGGAAUUUAUGAAGCUUCAACUCAGCUGAUUGCUUGGGAAGUUGUCUCUUGAAUCUUUCUAAAUUAAGGAACAGUAGCAUGCAAAUUAAUGGGUUUCUAAAUUCCGAACUAGUAAAUGGUGACCUUGUAUGACUAGAGAAUCCAUUUCAAAUUUAGGUGGAGAGAGUCCAGCCUUGGUGCAUAAUAUAAUCUUUGCAUUUUCAGCGUUCCUGUUCUCAUGUAACUUCAAAUGAUGCAGAUUUUUGUGGACUUGGAUUGAUUUUUUGGUUAGUACUGAACAGUUUGGCCCUCGGAGGACUUCUCCGUCCAUCCACAGAAAGGUGUUGAUGUGCGGAAGUGUCAUCUUGGUUAGUUGGACUUCUGCCCUGGUCCUUUUUAAUUGGUGGAAAUACUGAAUAUUUUUUUUUUUCCCUCAGACUCUUGUAACUCUUAUUAGAUUUCUAAUUCAAGCGAAUUGAAAUGGAUAUAGGCUGAUUUUGAUAGAUAUAAUUCUGUACUUGUACGCCAACUUUUCAUUUUAUUCAAGGAGUAGGAAUUCUAUCGUGAUAUCGAUA